rnacentral:rRNA from 1 species
UACGUAGGCAGCGAGCGUUUGUUCGGAGUUACUGGGCGUAAAGCGUGCGUAGGCGGUGUCUUAAGUUUGUUGUGAAAUCUCCCGGGCUUAACCGGGAGGGUGCGGCGAAUACUGAGAUGCUGGAGUGCCGGAGAGGUAAGCGGAAUUCCUGGUGUAGCGGUGAAAUGCGUAGAUACUGGGAGGAACACCAGUGGCGAAGGCGGCUACCUGGACCGGUUCUGACGCUGAUGCGCGAAAGCGUGGGUAGCAAACAGG